rnacentral:rRNA from 1 species
AACCCUCGACCUUAGUUGCCAGCAUUCAGUUGGGCACUCUAAGGUGACUGACCGGCUAAAAGUCGGAGGAAGUGGGGAUGACGUCAAAUCAUCAUGCCCUUAUGACCUGGGCUACACACGUGCUACAAUGGGCGGUACAAAGGGUCGCGAACCCGCGAGGGGGAGCCAAUCCCAAAAAGCCGCUCUCAGUUCGGAUUGCAGGCUGCAACUCGCCUGCAUGAAGCCGGAAUCGCUAGUAAUCGCGGAUCAGCAUGCCGCGGUCGAAUACGGUUCCCGGGCCUU